rnacentral:lncRNA from 1 species
AUGUGUCGCGGACCGUCCGAUCAAGGCACUGGAAGAUUUCGUCCGUUGGAUCGCGCUGCAGAAGGAUCCCGUGUUGUCCUAGUGUUUAUUGAUUCUUGCAAUUGCCUUGAUUACGGUUGGAUCUUGACCGGCUGCGAUGGUGGCCGUCCGAUGGUGCAAAAAAUAUGGAGCGUUGGAUCUUGAUUAGAGAAGAUCGGACCAUCGAGUGAUGUGAAGUUACCAGGUUGCCCUUCGGACCUUCUUCUCUCUCCUCAUGAGCCC